AUGGCUUUUGAUGCAAUAAUGGAAUCAGCUGAGAGAGGACUUGGAAAACAGAUAUUUGUAGAAGGCUAUGGUGGCACAGGGAAAACCUAUCUAUGGAAAGCAAUUACAACGAAGCUACAAUCAGAGGGAAAGAUAGUGCUUGCGGUAGCAUCAUCUGGCAUUGCAGCUUUGCUGCUCCAAGGUGGAAGAACAGCGCACUCAAGAUUCCACAUUCCAAUAAAUAUCACAGAAGAAUCAACAUGUGAAAUAAAACAAGGCUCACAUUUGGCUGAACUGGUAAAGAAGACCUCACUGAUACUGUGGGACGAGGCUCCUAUGGCAAACAAAAACUGCUUUGAGGCACUAGACAAAAGCCUUAGGGAUAUUCUAAGGUUCACAAACCAAAAUAGUGACGAAAGGCCAUUUGGUGGUAUGACAGUUGUGCUAGGAGGCGACUUCAGACAAAUACUUCCAGUGAUAACAAAGGGAAAGAGAGAGCACAUAGUAAAUGCCUCAAUCAAAAGGUCAUACCUAUGGAAGGACUUUCAAAUAUUUAGACUAACUGAAAACAUGCGGCUGAAGUGCCUGUCAGAAGAUCCAAUACAAAGGCAAAAUGUGGCUGAAUUUGCAGAAUGGAUAUUACAAAUUGGCGAUGGAAAAAAAACAAACGAUGAUGGAGAUGAUUGGGUAAGAAUACCUAAAGACAUAAUUCUACAUAAAGGAGAAGACCCCAAAGAAGAGAUAGUCAAAAGCACGUACCCAAACUUGCAACAAAACUAUCGUGACCGUGAAUUUCUCGAAGAAAGAGCAAUACUAUGCCCAAGGAAUGAAACAGUUGAGAAGAUAAAUGACUACAUAAUGAGCCAAAUACAAGGUGAAGAGGUGACAUACCUAAGCUUGGACACUAUAUGCAAGGCAACAAUGAAGUACAACACAAUGGAGAAUAUGUGUCCAACGGAGUUCCUUAACAAGAUGACCUUCCCAGGAAUUCCAAACCACGAGCUUAAACUGAAGGUAGGUUUGCCGGUGAUGCUCCUACGAAACAUCAAUCAAGCGGCAGGUUUAUGCAAUGGCACAAGAAUGACUAUCACACAGCUGGAAACAGGUACAUUGAAGCACAAAUAA
rnacentral:rRNA from 1 species